GACGAACGCUGGCGGCGUGCUUAACACAUGCAAGUCGAACGGAAAGACCCUGCUUUUGUGGGGUGCUCGAGUGGCGAACGGGUGAGUAACACGUGAGUAACCUGCCCUUGACUUUGGGAUAACUUCAGGAAACUGGGGCUAAUACCGGAUAGGAGCUCCUGCUGCAUGGUGGGGGUUGGAAAGUUUUGGCGGUUGGGGAUGGACUCGCGGCUUAUCAGCUUGUUGGUGGGGUAGUGGCUUACCAAGGCUUUGACGGGUAGCCGGCCUGAGAGGGUGACCGGCCACAUUGGGACUGAGAUACGGCCCAGACUCCUACGGGAGGCAGCAGUGGGGAAUAUUGCACAAUGGGCGGAAGCCUGAUGCAGCAACGCCGCGUGCGGGAUGACGGCCUUCGGGUUGUAAACCGCUUUCGCCUGUGACGAAGCGUGAGUGACGGUAAUGGGUAAAGAAGCACCGGCUAACUACGUG
rnacentral:rRNA from 1 species